UACGGAGGGAGCUAGCGUUAUUCGGAAUUACUGGGCGUAAAGCGCACGUAGGCGGCUUUGUAAGUAAGAGGUGAAAGCCUGGAGCUCAACUCCAGAAUUGCCUUUUAGACUGCAUCGCUUGAAUCAUGGAGAGGUGAGUGGAAUUCCGAGUGUAGAGGUGAAAUUCGUAGAUAUUCGGAAGAACACCAGUGGCGAAGGCGGCUCACUGGACGCGUAUUGACGCUGAGG
rnacentral:rRNA from 1 species